rnacentral:rRNA from 1 species
UACGGAGGGUGCUAGCGUUGUUCGGAAUCACUGGGCGUAAAGGGCGUGUAGGCGGUCUACUAAGUCUGAUGUGAAAUCCCCUCGCUCAACGAGGGAACUGCGUCGGAUACUGGUAGACUCGAGUACCGGAGAGGAAGGUGGAAUUCCCGGUGUAGCGGUGAAAUGCGUAGAUAUCGGGAGGAACAUCGGUGGCGAAGGCGGCCUUCUGGACGGAUACUGACGCUGAGACGCGAAAGCGUGGGGAGCAAAC